rnacentral:sRNA from 1 species
GCUGGGCGUGGUGAUGCACACCUGUAAUCCCAGUGCCUUGGGAGGCUGAGGAAGGAGGAUCGCAGGCUCAAAGCCAGCCUCAGCUAAGGCGAGGAGCUAAGCAACUCAGUGAGACCCUGUCUCUA